rnacentral:lncRNA from 1 species
CACAUGUUUAGCGGAUGUUAUUGCGGGUGUAGCGAAAUGCUUGUGUUUCUAGCUCCGACAGUGGCGUUGUUGCACCUUCUUCACCGCACUGUCUGUGUGGGUGGACCAUUUCAGUUCGACAGUGAUGUGUAUGUCAAGGAGCUUUCCACCUUCCCCAGUCCAGAGUUAGGAAGGACACCUAUAUCUUUGUAGUGACUGGGUGUAUUGACACACAAUUCAAAGUGUAAUGAAAAACGUCACCAUGAUCAAAGGAAGGCUGUAACGCAACAAAAUGUGGAAAAAGCCAAGAGAUUGGAAUGCAAAGUUUGUUUGCUCAAGGCCAGGAGGGAGACACUACAACUGGCCAACGGUGCCAAGUUUGGGCCGCAGACAUGAAGCUUAGGUUUCUGGCUGUAAUACCAAGGGCCUGAAGUCGAAAGUGUGGCAGAUGCUACCUUGCCAUGGAUGAGGGUCCAGACUCAGGUCACCCGUUACCUGAAAGGGGCCUCCGAUUGUGAAGGCAGGAUGUGGCGGCACACAGGAGAGAGGAAUCUGCUGUAGUGAGAGUCAACAUCAAGUUUUUGACCACCUGUUUCAAAGCCAGCCUCUACCCCCAAGCCACAAUACUGUUCCAACAGUUGAACCCUGGGCUGACUUUUGCAUCAUACCACACACUUACCAUUUAUUUUAAUAUUCUGUACACACUGAAAUUACUUUGUAGUGUACAUUAUCAUAGUAUAUUACCCUCAAACACAAAUGUCCCACUACACCUACACUGAUUUCCCACUAAUGCGGAUUUAUAAGCCUAACCCACUUCUAGGACAAAGAACAAAACUGUUACUGUCAUUCACCAAUGUAAAAAACAUUUCUGGGGUUAACUGAAAUUGACAACAACAAAAAAAUGUAUACAAAUAUACUUCAUCAAAAUUAAUUCAAGUAGUUUCAGUGAUUUGUUCAUUUAAUUUUACCCCAACAUUUUUGAAUAAAUCCAAUUUAAUAUGUUGUUCAAACGUAUCUUUAUUAGGAUAACCAAAAAUAGACUAAAUGUAGUGAUUUAAUUUACUCAAUUGUAAUCAUAUUUCUCUAAACGUAAUUUAAGUUCUUGCAACAACUUGCCAAGUGGCUCCAUUUUUUGAGGAUUGUGGGUAAUUCAAAAAUGUUUUACUUUAUGAUUAUUUACAUUUGAGUCACUUAGCAGACACUGUUAUCCAGAGCAGCUUACAGUUAGUGCAUUUAUCUCAGUCAUAGUAAGUACAUUUUCUUCAAUAAAGUAGUUAUCAGCAGUCAAGUGUGAGUGUUAAUUCAAUAAAAGGCUCGGGGUGGGUGCUGUGGGACUAUUUAAGAUACUCCUUGAAGACGUAGGGUCUCAGAUGUUUUUCGGAAGAUGGGCAGGGACUCUGCUGUCCUAGCGUCAGGGGGAAGCUUGUUCCGCCAUUGGGGUGCCAGGACAGAGAAGAGCUUUGACUGGACUGAGUGGGCGCUGCCCUCCCGUAGAGGUGGGAGGGCCAAGAGACCAGAGGUGUCAGAACGGAGUGCUCGGGUUGGGGUGUAGGGUUGAGCAUAGCCUGGAGGUAGGGAGGGACAGUUCCCCUUGCUGCUCUGUAGGCAGGCACCAUGGUCUUGUAGUGGAUGCGAGCUUCGACUGGAAGCCAGUGGAGUAUGCGGAGGAGUGGGGCGACAUGGGAGAACUUGGGAUGGUUGAACACCAAUCGGGCUGCUGCGUUCUGCAUCAGUUGCAGGGUUUUAAUGGCACAAGUGGGGAGCCCAGCCAACAGCAAGUAGAGAGAUAUGGCUGGAUUAGGACCUGACCCCGCUUCCUGUGUGAGGUAAGGUCACACUCUAUGGAUGUUGUAGAGCGUGAACCUGCAGGAGCGAGUCACUGCUUUGUUUGCAGAGAACGACAGAGUGUUGUCCAGGAUCAAGCCAAAGUCCUUUGCACUCUGGGAGGGGGACACAGUGGAGAUGUCAACCAUGAUGGAGAAGUCUUGGAGCGGGCAGGCCUUCCCUGGGAGGAAGAGCUGCUCCGUCUUGUUGAGGUUGAGCUUGAGGUAGUGGGCCGACAUCCAAGCUGUGAUGUCCGCCAGGCACGCAGAGAUGCGUGUCAGCACCUGGGUGUCAGAAGGGGGUAAAGAGAAAAGUAAUUGAGUGUUGUCCACAUAGCAAUGAUAGGUCGAGACCAUGUGAGGAUAUGACGGAGCCGAGUGACUUGGUCUACAGAGAGAAGAGGAGAGGGCCUAGAACCGAGCCCUGGGGGACACCAGUAGUGAGAGCAGGAGAGGAGGGUCCAAUGUUUUACCGUGUCAAAGGCAGCAGAUAGAUCUAAGAGGAUGAGAACAGAGGAGAGAUAGUCAACUUUGGCAGUUUGGAGAGCCUCCAUGACGCAGAGGAGAACGAUCUCAGGUGAGUGACCCAUCUUGAAGCCUGACUGGUUAGGGUCAAGAAAAUCGUUCUGAGAGAGAAAAUGAGAGAGUUGGUCAUAGACAGCAUGCUCCAGUGCUUUGGAAAGAAAAGAAAGAAGGGAUACCAGUCUAUAGUUUUUGAAGUCAGAGGGGUUGAGUGUUG